rnacentral:sRNA from 1 species
AUUAAAGUCUUUUCACUCAUAUCUAAUUAUCAUAAGAUAUCUUCAAUGCAUAUAAGUUGAUCCCAAAAAGCUUAUAGCAACCAUUUAACCGGAUCUGUGAGAGCAGAUUCGUUGUACUACGCAAUGACAACCCCAAUCAUUGCGUAUUUUUUUGUCUUUUUUUGAU